rnacentral:lncRNA from 1 species
AAUAGAAUCAGCUCCAUUGCCUGGGAAUCAUUCUUGUCAGGAGUGCUUUCGUUCUAACCUAGGUAAAGGCUUUUCUUUUUCACUCUCUCAGGAUCCAAACAAGCAGACUACACACAGAAAGAUGACUUCAUUUCUUCACCGAGUGUUUCGUGAGUGUCUGCUGCAUGCUGGACACUAGCAAAGGCAGAAGGAAUUCAACCACAACUGAAAUGAACACCGGGUAUCCAAGGGCAGGAGGAAAAUGCUGGAGAAAGGACCUCAAGUCAAGUGAUGGAUGGCUUCAAGGAAGGCACAACAGAGAGCUGUUGGGGUCCAGGAGAAGAAGUA